GAAAGUUUCAUGUUAAAUUCAAAGGUUUCCCAUUUACCAUGAUAUAAAGAGAAAAUCCAGCUAGGUUAACUUGAAGAUAACGAGAGUUGUGGGAGAAAAUAAAAGAAUGAUAAUAAAAAGCACGAUCGCUCUUAUUUAACCCUUCACAAUUUACAAGUGGUUGGAUCAAAUUUCUCACUCUCGCGUCCUGCUUUCAGCGUUGCUUUAUAAGAAUAAUCCUGAGAGAGUAGAGGACGAAAAACUUGUCAGUCUCAUUUCAGCCGACCCAUCGAAACCAAGUUUCUCUUACCCGAGUCUCAUAUGGCACACGAUAUCCCCACC
rnacentral:sRNA from 2 species